rnacentral:rRNA from 1 species
AUUGAACGCUGGCGGCAUGCCUUACACAUGCAAGUCGAACGGCAGCACGGGAGCAAUCCUGGUGGCGAGUGGCGAACGGGUGAGUAAUAUAUCGGAACGUGCCCAGUCGUGGGGAUAACGUAGCGAAAGCUACGCUAAUACCGCAUACGAUCUAUGGAUGAAAGCGGGGGAUCGCAAGACCUCGCGCGAUUGGAGCGGCCGAUAUCAGAUUAGGUAGUUGGUGAGGUAAAGGCUCACCAAGCCGACGAUCUGUAGCUGGUCUGAGAGGACGACCAGCCACACUGGGACUGAGACAGGCCCAGACUCCUACGGGAGGCAGCAGUGGGGAAUUUUUGGACAAUGGGCGCAAGCCUGAUCCAGCAAUGCCGCGUGCAGGAUGAA